rnacentral:rRNA from 1 species
UCCAGACUCCUACGGGAGGCAGCAGUGAGGAAUAUUGGUCAAUGGACGAGAGUCUGAACCAGCCAAGUAGCGUGAAGGAUGACUGCCCUAUGGGUUGUAAACUUCUUUUAUAAAGGAAUAAAACGAGGCACGUGUGCCUUUUUGCAUGUACUUUAUGAAUAAGGAUCGGCUAACUCCGUGCCAGCAGCCGCGGUAAUACGGAGGAUGCGAGCGUUAUCCGGAUUUAUUGGGUUUAAAGGGUGCGUAGGCGGAAUGCCAAGUCAGCGGUAAAAUCGCGGGGCUCAACCUCGCUCCGCCGUUGAAACUGGCGUUCUUGAGUGGGCGAGAAGUAUGCGGAAUGCGUGGUGUAGCGGUGAAAUGCGUAGAUAUUAGGAGGAACACCAGUGGCGAAGGCGGCCUGCUGGGCUUUUACUGACGCUGAGGCUCGAAAGUGUGGGGAGCAAACAGGAUUAGAUACCCUCGUA